rnacentral:rRNA from 1 species
AUACGUAGGGAGCGAGCGUUGUCCGGAUUUACUGGGUGUAAAGGGUGCGUAGGCGGCUCUGCAAGUCGGGUGUGGAAGGUAUGGGCUUAACUCAUAGAUUGCACUCGAAACUGUGGGGCUUGAGUGGAGUAGAGGCAGGCGGAAUUCCCGGUGUAGCGGUGAAAUGCGUAGAGAUCGGGAGGAACACCAGUGGCGAAGGCGGCCUGCUGGGCUUUAACUGACGCUGAAGCACGAAAGCAUGGGUAGCAAACAGGAUUAGAUACCCUGGUAGUCCAUGCCGUAAACGAUGAUUACUAGAUGUGGGGGGUCUGACCCCUUCCGUGCCGGUGUUAACACAAUAAGUAAUCCACCUGGGAAGUACGACCGCAAGGUUGAA